CGCGGCCUAUCAGCUUGUUGGUGAGGUAAUGGCUCACCAAGGCGACGACGGGUAGCCGGCCUGAGAGGGUGACCGGCCACACUGGGACUGAGACACGGCCCAGACUCCUACGGGAGGCAGCAGUGGGGAAUAUUGCACAAUGGGCGCAAGCCUGAUGCAGCAACGCCGCGUGAGGGACGACGGCCUUCGGGUUGUAAACCUCUUUUAGCAGGGAAGAAGCGAGAGUGACGGUACCUGCAGAAAAAGCACCGGCUAACUACGUGCCAGCAGCCGCGGUAAUACGUAGGGUGCAAGCGUUGUCCGGAAUUAUUGGGCGUAAAGAGCUCGUAGGCGGUCUGUCGCGUCUGCUGUGAAAACCCGAGGCUCAACCUCGGGCUUGCAGUGGGUACGGGCAGACUAGAGUGCGGUAGGGGAGAUUGGAAUUCCUGGUGUAGCGGUGGAAUGCGCAGAUAUCAGGAGGAACACCGAUGGCGAAGGCAGAUCUCUGGGCCGUAACUGACGCUGAGGAGCGAAAGCGUGGGGAGCAAACAGGCUUAGAUACCCUGGUAGUCCACGCCGUAAACGUUGGGAACUAGAUGUGGGGACCAUUCCACGGUCUCCGUGUCGUAGCUAACGCAUUAAGUGCCCCGCCUGGGGAGUACGG
rnacentral:rRNA from 1 species